rnacentral:rRNA from 1 species
AACGAACGCUGGCGGCGUGCUUAACACAUGCAAGUCGUACGAGAAACACUCCCUUCGGGGGGUGGAGUAAAGUGGCGCACGGGUGAGUAACACGUGGGUAACCUGCCCUUGGGAUCGGGAUAACCCCGCGAAAGCGGUGCUAAUACCGGAUAAGACCACAUGAGCCUCGGCUCAACGGGUCAAAGUCGGCCUCUCGCAGAAGCCGGUGCCUGAGGAUGGGCCCGCGGACCAUUAGCUUGUUGGUGAGGUAACGGCUCACCAAGGCCGAGAUGGUUAGCUGGUCUGAGAGGAGGGCCAGCCACACUGGAACUGAGACACGGUCCAGACUCCUACGGGAGGCAGCAGUGAGGAAUAUUGCGCAAUGGGGGCAACCCUGACGCAGCAACGCCGCGUGGGUGAAGAAGGCCUUCGGGUUGUAAAGCCCUGUCAGGUGGGAAGAAACCCCCGCAGUACAAGAUGCUGCGGAACUGACGGUACCACCAGAGGAAGCACCGGCUAACUACGUGCCAGCAGCCGCAGUAA